UUUUUCUAAAUUAUUAGAGAAUGCACUUUGUUUGUCCCCAGAAGCUCGCAUCUUCUAUCUAGGAAAGUUCAGUGUGUAUACACCUAGUUGUGAAGUUCACUUUAUAUUUUUUAGUUGACCUGAGCUUGUACGUGUAUGGUUAUGAACUUGCGUAUUUUUUAGUUCUUUGUUUUUUAUGGAAAAAAUGAAUCAAGCAUGGGCAAAACACGGUACAAGUAUGUGCUGAUGCGUGUCUGGCUAUAAAAAGUAGAAGUUCCUUUUGUUUACAAAGAAAGUUUAUGUUUCAUUUUGUACAUGCUCACUACUGUCGGUUCAUCUAGAAAAAAAUAGCUUUUCCAUGUGUACACAUAAAAUCAAUUCAUGUGUGCUUUAUUUGUUGUUUGCUUUGGAGAAGUUCACUAAUUUGUUUUUGGAAAGUUCACUCUUAUGCGGUUAGCUAUAUCUAUGGGUAAGUGUCGAUGGUACAGACAUAGAAAACUAGAAGUUCGGAUUUAAUUGUGGAGCAGUGCAGUUCACAUGGGCGUUGGCGAACAUCCGUCGGCGCACCUACCUCCGCAUCGGCGUUGGUGAACAUCAGUGCACACCAAGUUCCUCGUCAGGCUGAGAUGUUUUUGCAACUGACUGGCUAUGAAGUUCACAUCUCUUUUUAGGUCAUGGCCAUGCAGGGAGUUAGCUUCAUCUCUAGAAGAAGUUCAUUGUGGGUUGAAAAGAGCACUGGCAUGGACUCCUGCAAGCACAGCUCUAGACUUCCGUGAGUGAUAGUGUGGUCUUCACGAGCAUUGUCGUUGCCGCUGCUGCUUCAAGCGAGAUGGUGUCUGUUUCAUGUGUGAUGGUGAUAGUUCGGAAUAAGAAAAGUGAUCGUUUUCCUGUGAGCUCGCCGCUGCUGCAAGCUCGACCAAGUGCGAUUUGCCCAUGCCAUCAGCACUUAGUAGUUCAGCCUUUACAGCGUAGCUGUACCUUGUGGAAGCACGCGUUGACCUCGGUGUGCUGGAGCUGUGAAGUUCAGGGGGCAGAUUUGUGAAGUCCAGAGACCAAUAGCUAUGUAGUUUAGAGAGCUCAAUUUGUUAUUUUGGUUGAGACAUUGGAUUAGCGUUGUGAACAUGAUUUGUGCUACUGUUAUUUUGUUUCUCUUGUCCUGCUUGUGGUUUGGCGACUUUGAGGGUGAAUGGAAGUGGACAAUUGUAUAAAAUGUAUAAACUGAUGCAGUUCAUUUUAUGUAAAAUGCGA